ensembl:miRNA
UUUUCCCUGGGUUUUGAAUUUGCAGUAACAGGUGUGAACAUUCUAGCAGCAGUUUGAUGAUCAUGUAUGAUACUGCAAACAGGACCUGC